rnacentral:rRNA from 1 species
UACAGAGGGCUCAAGCGUUAAUCGGAAUCACUGGGCUUAAAGGGUCCGCAGGCGGAUUGGAAAGUAUCUUGUGAAAUACCACGGCUCAACCGUGGAACUGCUCGGUAAACUUCCAAUCUUGAACACGGUAGGGGCCAUCGGAACUCUAGGUGGAGCGGUGAAAUGCGUAGAUAUCUAGAGGAACGCCAGAGGCGAAGGCGGAUGGCUGGGCCGUUGUGACGUCAGGCGAAACAUGGGUAGCGAACGGGAUUAGAUACCGUAGUC